rnacentral:rRNA from 1 species
UACGUAGGUGGCAAGCGUUUGUCCGGAUUUACUGGGCGUAAAGAGCGCGCAGGCGGUCGUUUCAAGUCGAGUGUGAAAGCCCCCCGGCUCAACUGGGGAGGGUCACUCGAUACUGAUCGACUCGAAGGCAGAAGAGGGAAGCGGAAUUCCCGGUGUAGUGGUGAAAUGCGUAGAUAUCGGGAGGAACACCAGUGGCGAAGGCGGCUUUCUGGUCUGCUCUUGACGCUGAGGCGCGAAAGCCAGGGGAGCAAACGGG